rnacentral:rRNA from 1 species
GGAAUAUUGGGCAAUGCCCGCAAGGGUGACCCAGCAACGCCGCGUGGAGGAUGAAUGUCGUAAGAUUGUAAACUCCUGUUAGAGGGGAAGAAUAGUACCGGUUGGACCGGUAUAUGACUGUACCCUCAGAGAAAGCCCCGGCUAACUACGUGCCAGCAGCCGCGGUAAUACGUAGGGGGCGAGCGUUGUCCGGAAUCAUUGGGCGUAAAGCGCGUGUAGGCGGCUCGGUAAGUCCGGUGUGAAACCUUGGGGCUCAACCCCAGGCCUGGACUGGAUACUGUCGAGCUCGAGUCCGGGAGGGGAGAGCGGAAUUCCUAGUGUAGCGGUGAAAUGCGCAGAUAUUAGGAAGAACACCGGUGGCGAAGGCUGCUCUCUGGAACGGUACUGACGCUGAGACGCGAAAGCGUGGGGAGCGAACA